GACGAACGCUGGCGGCGUGCUUAACACAUGCAAGUCGAACGGAAAGACCCUGCUUUUGUGGGUUGCUCGAGUGGCGAACGGGUGAGUAACACGUGAGUAUCCUGCCCUUGACUUUCUGGUAACUUCAGGGAACUGGGGCUAAUACCGGGUAUGAGCUCCUGCUGCGUGUGGGGGAUUGGAGAGAUUCGGCGGUUGUGGAUGGACUCGCGGCUUAUCAGCUUGUUGGUGGGGUAGUUGCUUACCAAGGCUUUGACGGGUAGCCGGCAUGAGAGGGUGACCGGGCACAUUGGGACUGCGAUACGGACCAGAAUCCAAUGGGACGCAGUAGGGGAGAACAUGGCACAACGGGGCGAAGUCUGAGGCAGCAACGCCGGGUGCGGGAUGAUCGGCUUCGGGUUGUAAACAGCUUUCGACGGUGACGAAGAGUGAGUGACGGUAACGGGUAAAGAAGCACCGGCUAACUACGUG
rnacentral:rRNA from 1 species